rnacentral:rRNA from 1 species
CGAACGCUGGCGGCGUGCUUAACACAUGCAAGUCGAGCGGUAAGGCCCUUUCGGGGGUACGACGAGCGGCGAACGGGUGAGUAACACGUGGGUGACCUGCCCUCAGCUCUGGGAUAAGCCUGGGAAACCGGGUCUAAUACUGGAUAUGACUCCAUGACGCAUGUUGUGGGGUGGAAAGCCUUGUGCGGCUGAGGAUGGGCCCGCGGCCUAUCAGCUUGUUGGUGGGGUGAUGGCCUACCAAGGCGACGACGGGUAGCCGGCCUGAGAGGGCGACCGGCCACACUGGGACUGAGACACGGCCCAGACUCCUACGGGAGGCAGCAGUAAGGAAUAUUGCGCAAUGGGCGAAAGCCUGACGCAGCGACGCCGCGUGGGGA